rnacentral:rRNA from 1 species
AGAGUUUGAUCAUGGCUCAGGAUGAACGCUGGCGGUAUGCUUAACACAUGCAAGUCGUACGAGAGUUUUUAACUCUAGUGGCGGACGGGUGAGUAACGCGUGAGAAUUUGCCUUUAGGAGGGGGAUAACAAUUGGAAACGAAUGCUAAUACCCCAUAUGCUUUUGAGUGAAACGGAUUUAUCCGCCUAAAGAGAAGCUCGCGUCUGAUUAGCUUGUUGGUAAGGUAAGAGCUUACCAAGGCGACGAUCAGUAUCUGGUUUGAGAGGACGAUCAGACACACUGGAACUGAGACACGGUCCAGACUCCUACGGGAGGCAGCAGUGGGGAAUUUUCCGCAAUGGGCGAAAGCCUGACGGAGCAAUACCGCGUGAGGGACGAAUGCCUAUGGGUUGUAAACCUCUUUUUUCAGGGAGGAAUCAAUGACGUGUACCUGAAGAAUAAGCAUCGGCUAACUCCGUGCCAGCAGCCGCGGUAAGACGGAGGAUGCAAGUGUUAUCCGGAAUCACUGGGCGUAAAGCGUCUGUAGGUGGUUUAAUAAGUCAACUGUUAAAUCUUGAGGCUC